rnacentral:rRNA from 1 species
GACGAACGCUGGCGGCGUGCCUAAUACAUGCAAGUAGGACGCAGUUGCGAACGGGUGAGUAACGCGUAGGUAACUACCUAUUAGAGGGGGAUAACUAUUGGAAACGAUAGCUAAUACCGCCUACUAGUAGAUGGACCUGCGUUGUAUUAGCUAGUAGGUAGGGUAAUGGCCUACCUAGGCAACGAUACAGAGCCGACUUGAGAGGGGGAGCGGCCACACUGGUAAUGGGUAACGGCCCAGACGCCUACGGGAGGCAGCAGUAGGGAAUCUUCGGCAAUGGGGGGAACCCUGACCUAGCAACUCCGCGGGAGUGAAGAAGGGUUUCGGAUCGUAAAGCUCUGUUGUUAAGGAAGCGGUACUUAACCAGAAAGGGACGGCUAACUACGUGCCAGCAGCCGCGGUAAUUC